rnacentral:rRNA from 1 species
AUGAACGCUAGCGGCAGGCUUAACACAUGCAAGUCGAGGGGCAGCACGGGUAGCAAUACCUGGUGGCGACCGGCGCAAGGGUGCGUAACGCGUGAGCAACAUGCCCUAUACAGGGGGAUAAUCCAGGGAAACUUGGUCUAAUAUCCCAUAGCAUUUAGAGGAGGCAUCUUCACUAAAUUAAAGCUUCGGUGGUAUAGGAUUGGCUCGCGUGACGUUAGCUAGAUGGUGAGGUAACGGCCCACCAUGGCUAUGAUGUCUAGGGGUUCUGAGAGGAAGACCCCCCACACUGGGACUGAGACACGGCCCAGACUCCUACGGGAGGCAGCAGUGAGGAAUAUUGGACAAUGGAUGGAAAUCUGAUCCAGCCAUGCCGCGUGCAGGAAGACGGCCCUAUGGGUUGUAAACUGCUUUUAUAUGGGAGCAAUAAGGUUUACGAGUAGACCGAUGAGAGUACCAUAUGAAUAAGCAUCGGCUAACUCCGUG